rnacentral:lncRNA from 1 species
GUUCUGUUUUCUAAUUAUUAAAUGGUUCAUUGUAAAUAUUACAAUGUAUUAUAUGUAGAUAGCCAUUUGCUAAUGAUGGUAUUUUUGUUAAUUGAAUAUCACAACAUUUGGAUAGUUUUUCAACUGUUAGGUUUUUUUUACUUUGUUCUGGAUUUAAUACUUUGGAUACCACUGGUAUAGCAAUGAGAACAUUUUGCACUAUACAUAUAGAACACAACUACCAUAUGAAUGUGUCGGUCC